rnacentral:rRNA from 1 species
UACAGAGGGGGCGAGCGUUGUUCGGAAUUACUGGGCGUAAAGGGCGCGUAGGCGGCCUUCUAAGUCGAACGUGAAAUCCCCGGGCUCAACCCGGGAACUGCGUCCGAUACUGGGAGGCUUGAAUCCGGGAGAGGGAUGUGGAAUUCCAGGUGUAGCGGUGAAAUGACGUAGAUAUCUGGAGGAACACCGGUGGCGAAGGCGGCAUCCUGGACCGGUAUUGACGCUGAGGCGCGAAAGCCAGGGGAGCAAACGGG